AUGUCCAGUUCAUUAAAGUUAUCAAUACUCGCUGGAGUUAAUUUAACUUUAAACGGUACUGUAAGUAACUUUCGUUGUCAGAGAUAAUUAUCAAUGCAAUGGUUUUAAUAUUUUCAGUCAUUUAUUCAAAGGCUUGCUUGAGCAUUUAGCAAAAGCAUUUUGUGACAUUUACUCGUUCCAUGUGCAUCAGCAUGCUAAAAAUAGUAUUUUUAUUCAGUAUCGGCGUUAAUGCUAAACUUAACCCCCACGGUCCUACUGUGGUUAGUGACUUCUCCGGUUGUGUUAGUGAAAUAAUUGAUGGAAAUUUUGCGAAAUCUGGACAUCUCUAUUUCGUGGACACUUUUAACGUCAGCACACCAGUAGCUGGAAUAAGACAUGCUAUCAUUAAAUCUGUGCAUGCAAAAUUAAAAUACUCUGUAAAAAUAGCUACACCUACGAAGAAAGAUAAAGGGAUAUGCUUUAACAAUGACAAUACAGCCAUAGAAAUGAGUGUUGGGUCGCACAUGGAUCAUUUUGAAGCUACACCUCUAGCUCAUUACUUCAUUUUAAUCAUAGAAGACUACAAGGAAUUCAGUUAUAUCGCAAGUAGACUUAUUCGAUCUAGGAGUUGGAAUCCGAGUGCCUUGUUCAUUUUGGUAUAUUUCUCAAUAACCGGUUCUGACGAUAAAAACAUCAGACAUGCCGAAGAUAUGCUAUUUUGCCUUUUUAAAAUUAAUGUGAUCAAUGCCGUUGUGAUUAUACCAGAAGUUAAUAAUGUCCGGAAGGCAAAUAUCUAUAGUUGGCGGCCUUAUGAACCUCCAAAAUAUUGUGGAUACUACAAUGAAUCGAUAAGAAAUAGACUGAUAGUGGAAAACGUCUGUGAACGUGGCAAAAUAAAAUACGCAAAAAAGAUUUUUGAAUCAAAAAUUCCUAGUGACAUGAUGGGAUGUAGUUUGAAAGUGCUUGCUCUAGAACGACAGCCCUUUAUAAGUCAUAAUCCGUUGGAUCCUAAUAUGGAAAGUCUAUUGAUUGAUCAGUUAGCAAAACGUUAUAACCUUUCCCUACGUUACGAAAUCCUGAAUUCAUAUCGCGGAGAGAAGUCAUUUCAUGGUGACUGGAGCGGAGCACUGAGAGACCUAGCUGACAAAAAAGGCCACCUACUUUUAGGAGGCAUUUUUCCCGACGACGAAGUUCAUCAAGAUUUUGAGUGCAGUACAACUUACUUAGCCGAUUCCUACACCUGGGUCGUUCCACGAGCGUUACCAAAACCGGCAUGGCUAGCUCUUUUUGUGAUAUUUCAAAAAACCGUAUGGUUGACAGUUAUAACUUGUUUUGUCUUUAUUGCUUUAAGUUGGAUGGUGUUAGCUAAGCUGAGCAGGGAUCCAACUUAUAGAACAAAUCUGGAUCAUUAUUUUAUCAACACUUGGCUCAGUAAUUUGGGUUUUUGUGCAUUUUCACGACCAAUAACGCAUAGUUUGCGUUUAUUUUUUGUAUUUAUAAACCUUUAUUGCAUUUUAUUAAUAACUGCUUAUCAAACAAAAUUGAUUGAUGUCUUGACAAACCCAAGUUUUGAAUAUCAGAUAUCGACCGUCGAGGAAUUGGUUGAGAGUGGCUUAAAAUGUGGCGGUUCUGAAGAAUUACAUGAUAUUUUUGAAAAUUCUACUGAUCCUAUUGAUAACUAUUUCUUGGGCGAGUGGAUUGAUAUUGCCGAUAUAAAGGAUGCUUUGAGAGACGUGGCGAUCCACCGGAACUUCUCUCUCUUGUGCAGUCGCUUGGAACUGGCGUAUGUAUCAGCCAUAAUACCGGAGUUGAGUGAUCAAUUUGGAAACUAUAUGUAUUAUGCUUUCCCAACGAACGUCUUUACUGUCCCUUUGGAGACUGUGUCUACGAAAGGGUUUCCGUUUAUGAAAGGGUUUUCUAGAAUUUUGACAUAUUUUAGACAGCAUGGCAUCAAUAACGGAGUGAUAGUAUAUUUUGGUGGUUAUUUGUUAAGACAGCGAGCUCUACUCUUGAAGGAAUUGAAACAUGAAUACAAUAAGAGACCCGCCCUAUCCAUUCAAACUCUACAAAGUGGAUAUUUAGCCCUUAUAUUUGGCUACUUGUGUGGCACAAUUGUGUUCAUAGUGGAAAUUAUACUUAAUACAAAAUUUGUAAAAAAUAUUAAAUUUUAUAAGAAAUAUGUUUAUGGUGAUUGGUUUUUAUUUACCAAAAUCAAACUUCAUAUAUUUUUAA